CGGCUUGCUAGUCUUGGGCUCAGUAUUCUGUCCGGUGGCCCACUAAGCUCACGACAACCUUCUUGCCUUAUAUGUUCAGUUUCCGAUUCUAAAAAAAGAAAGAAAAAUCUGUGUCCAGUUUCCUCUAAACAAAAUAUGUCUUCAGUUGAUUCUUAAAAAAUAAAUCUAUCUUCAGUUUCAUCACCCUCUGCUUCUUCCUCUGUUCAGUCAGGAAGAUCGUGAUAAUUCUUAAUUCUUAUGAAUAGAGAUAUCAGUAUUAUGGACUGUACGUAUAAUCUCGCAAGGCGCAAGGACGCUAAGUUGUUUUUCUGCCGCAGAAGCCAUGAGAGCCUUUGGAAACAAAAUAAACAAGUUGCUUCGUUCUCGCC
rnacentral:lncRNA from 1 species